UUGGCCAUUGGAGACGGUACGCAAGCUCCAACAUCCAUUCCUCCUCUGUUUUCGGUCCUCGGUCCCUCAACGCCAUUACUCGCCUUCCCUUGGACUGACCUUGGACGACUCCACGCGCAGCCGCCAGUACAAGGUCUUCACAACUUUCUUAACACGGUGUAUUUGUUUUGUGAAGAGAGGUGGUGAUGCUACAUGGUCAGUGAUGGGUGCUAGGAGAAGUGCAACUCUACCAACAGAGAAAAUCUACUCUUCACAAAGGCCAUGACGGGUAGUUGGAUCCAAAGCACAGAGAAUCAAGAGGUGGUGAUGCUACAUGGUCAGUGAUGGGUGCUAGGAGAAGUGCAACUCUACCAACAGAGAAAAUCUACUCUUCACAAAGGCCAUGACGAGUAGUUGGAUCCAAAGCACAUAGAAUCAAGGUUUAUUUUCUUAGAGCUCCUGUGUCGGAGCUGAUACUAUUGUGUUACGUUGAAGUUUUAUCUUCACUGCUUCUUUUCCUCAUGUGUGAGCUGAGUACCGAUUUCACAUCCUUCCCAUUCUAUGCUAAUACUCCUUCUAAAUCCAACAAGGUU